rnacentral:sRNA from 1 species
UUUUUAGCUAAGUCUAUAUAGGCACUUGUUUUAUUUGAAAUUAGGUCGUGUAUAAAUACUCUAUGAGAUAGUUUCUUUAAUUACGACAUCACAGUCGAAUAUGCUAAAAUAUAUAUAAAUUAGUUCUGGAGGUUAAAAUUGUGAAUAAAUUAGUAUUAAUCGAUGGUAAUAGCUUAAGUUUUAGAGCUUUUUAUGCAUUACCUU